ACAAAACAGAAAAAAACACUGUGAUACAUGUUGUGAUUUAGUACCAACAUUAUCCUUCAGUAAUAAAGGAUUUAAUCUCCCAGCUACUGGAGCCUCAGCUUUUAGCCCCUUUCAGGUACUGCCUUAGAUACAGAGACCCGACUUACUCAAAGUCAUGUCACCUUUCUGGGAUAGCCCAUAGCCAAUGACUAAUCAAAGGUCCAAAGGCCCAGCUGUCUAACCCUCAAGUUGGAAAACUUAGACGGUGUAUCUCAGCUUCACAACUUCCUGCAGGAUCUCAUGAAUACCACUGGGACUGUGUUGCAGGUCAGUUUCUCAUUUUGCCCAAUCCUGCCUUAUUCUUUUUCCUUCCAUAGGUUGUAUCUCAAGAACAGUCCCUAGCAAACUUCCUGCACACUGAACUCCAUCUCAGAGUCUACUUCCUGGGCAACCUUGGAAGACAUAUGUAGAUGUCAGAGUCUCCAGCAACCUGAGUUACUGAAUUACUGGGCAUCAGAACCUCCAGCCUGGAAACCAAGAACACCUACAUUAGAUGAACAUACAAUUCCUCGUGGUAUAAAAUUGAGUUGCUGAUUUGCAACCUUUCUUCUAUUUGAAGGGAGAAGAAAUCAAGGCCUUAAAAAUACAAAUUAUGUUUCGCUUCUGGAGUAGAGAUUACAUCACUCUGCAUCUCACACAGUUUUCAUUAUUUUCACCAGGUAUGUACUAGGUACUCAGUUAAAUGUUUUCGAAAAAAGUUUGUUCAGAAUCAGAGAGAAGCAAGGUCAGAAAAAUUCAGGAAAUUUUUUUUUUAUUGAAAAAAUAAUUCACAUCAUGUUUAAAUUUUCCAGUUUAUAACUAACUUUUGGGAGGGCGCAAAUAUUUCUUGGGGUAAUUGAAGUAAAGGUAAUAUUCUCCGCCAAAAUACAUAAUUGAAAGCCUACAUUUUG